rnacentral:rRNA from 1 species
GACGAACGCUGGCGGCGUGCUUAACACAUACAAGUCGAACGAAGUGGCGAACGGGUGAGUAACGCGUAAUCAACCUGCCCUUCAGAGGGGGACAACAGUUGGAAACGACUGCUAAUACCGAAUACUGAAGGAGGGGCUUGCGUCUGAUUAGCUAGUUGGGGGGGUAACGGCCCACCAAGGCGAUGCUCAGUAGCCGGUCUGAGAGGAUGAACGGCCACAUUGGGACUGAGACACGGCCCAGACGCAUACGGGAGGCAGCAGUGGGGAAUCUUCCGCAAUGGACGAAAGUCUGACGGAGCAACGCCGCGUGAGUGAUGACGGCCUGCGGGUUGUAAAGCUCUGUUAAUCGGGACGCGGUACCGGAAUAGAAAGCCACGGCUAACUACGUGCCAGCCGCCGCGGUAAUUC